rnacentral:rRNA from 1 species
UACGUAGGGUGCGAGCGUUGUCCGGAAUUACUGGGCGUAAAGAGCUCGUAGGUGGUUUGUCGCGUUGUUCGUGAAAACCUGAGGCUUAACCUUGGGCGUGCGGGCGAUACGGGCAGACUGGAGUACUGCAGGGGAGACUGGAAUUCCUGGUGUAGCGGUGGAAUGCGCAGAUAUCAGGAGGAACACCGAUGGCGAAGGCAGAUCUCUGGGCCGUAACUGACGCUGAGGAGCGAAAGCCAGGGGAGCAAACGGG